rnacentral:rRNA from 1 species
ACUAGCAGUAAGAGUUUGAUCAUGGCUCAGAACGAACGCUGGCGGCAGGCCUAACACAUGCAAGUCGAACGCCCCGCAAGGGGAGUGGCAGACGGGUGAGUAACACGUGGGAACGUGCCCUAAGGUUCGGAAUAUUCCCGGGAAACUGGGAGCAAUACCGAAUGUGACCGCAAGGUGAAAGAUUUAUCGCCUUAGGAUCGGCCCGCGUCGGAUUAGCUAGUUGGUGGGGUAAAAGCCUACCAAGGCGACGAUCCGUAGCUGGUCUGAGAGGACGACCAGCCACACUGGGACUGAGACACGGCCCAGACUCCUACGGGAGGCAGCAGUGGGGAAUAUUGGACAAUGGGGGAAACCCUGAUCCAGCGACGCCGCGUGUGUGAAGAAGGCCUGCGGGUUGUAAAGCACUUUCGGUGGGAACGAAAUAUGCCGGGCUAAUACCCCGGUAGGCUGACGUUACUCAAUGAAGAAGCACCGGCUAACUCUGUGCCAGCCGCCGCGGUAAUAC